AGUGAACGCUGGCGGUAGGCCUAACACAUGCAAGUCGAACGGCAGCACAGCAAGAGCUGGCUCUUACGGGUGGCGAGUGGCGGACGGGUGAGGAAUACAUCGGAAUCUACUUUUUCGUGGGGGAUAACGUAGGGAAACUUACGCUAAUACCGCAUACGACCUACGGGUGAAAGCAGGGGAUCUUCGGACCUUGCGCGAUUGAAUGAGCCGAUGUCGGAUUAGCUAGUUGGCGGGGUAAAGGCCCACCAAGGCGACGAUCCGUAGCUGGUCUGAGAGGAUGAUCAGCCACACUGGAACUGAGACACGGUCCAGACUCCUACGGGAGGCAGCAGUGGGGAAUAUUGGACAAUGGGCGCAAGCCUGAUCCAGCCAUACCGCGUGGGUGAAGAAGGCCUUCGGGUUGUAAAGCCCUUUUGUUGGGAAAGAAAAGCAGCAGGUUAAUACCCCGCUGUUCUGACGGUACCCAAAGAAUAAGCACCGGCUAACUUCGUG
rnacentral:rRNA from 1 species